rnacentral:rRNA from 1 species
GAUGAACGCUAGCUACAGGCUUAACACAUGCAAGUCGAGGGGAAACGAUUAGAGGUGCUUGCACCACUAAGGCGUCGACCGGCGCACGGGUGAGUAACGCGUAUCCAACCUGCCCCAUGGUAAGGAAUAAUCCGUAGAAAUGCGGUCUAAUACCUUAUGUGCUCCGAAGAGGACAUCUGAUUUGGAGUAAAGAUUUAUCGCCAUGGGAUGGGGAUGCGUCUGAUUAGAUUGUUGGCGGGGCAACGGCCCACCAAGUCACCGAUCAGUAGGGGUUCUGAGAGGAAAGUCCCCCACAUUGGAACUGAGACACGGUCCAAACUCCUACGGGAGGCAGCAGUGAGGAAUAUUGGUCAAUGGAUGAGAAUCUGAACCAGCCAAGUAGCGUGCAGGAAGACGGCCCUAUGGGUUGUAAACUGCUUUUGUACGGGGAUAAAGGAGCUUACGUGUAAGUUUUUGCAGGUACCGUACGAAUAAGGACCGGCCAAUUCCGUGCCAGCAGCCGCGGUAAUACGGAAGGUCCGGGCGUUAUCCGGAUUUAUUGGGUUUAAAGGGAGCGCAGGCUGUCGGUUAAGCGUGUUGUGAAAUGUAGGCGCCCAACGCCUGCACUGCAGCGCGAACUGGCUGACUUGAGUACGCACGACGUUGGCGGAAUUUGCCGUGUAGCGGUGAAAUGCUUAGAUAUGGCGAAGAACUCCGAUUGCGAAGGCAGCUGACGGGAGCGCAACUGACGCUCAUGCUCGAAAGUGCGGGUAUCGAACAGG